rnacentral:lncRNA from 1 species
ACCCUUAUUUUUCAAAAUUGGAGGAACAUCAGACGGGGGAGGUCCUAGAAGGGACUUAGCGGGAGGAAGUGGAGCCAGUGACACCGAAGGAUGAUUGUCAAUAUGCCUUCUACCUGGAGAAGAAGAUCUUGGACUAUCACGACCUUUACAAUUAUUUUUCCAAAUAGGAGAAAUAUUAGAUGGAGAAGGUUUUAUGAUGGACUUAUGAUGAGGCGACGCUAAUAAGAUGGGUGAAUGACGAUGACCACGCUUUUCAUAUGGAGUACUAAUAAUCAACUCAUAAUCUCGAGCUAAAGAGUAAGCGUGAUUAAGAGUAGUGACGCCUCGAAGGAAAAGCUCGCGCUUAAGAUCAUCUCUUAGACCUUGGCUAAACCUACUCAAAGUCGUGCUCUCAUUCUCAAUUAAAUGACAUUUGGUUCGAAAUUCCUCAAAUUGCGCGAUAUACUCAGUCACUAAUUGAUUUUCUUGUUUAAGGGCAUUCCAUUGAGUAAGAAUUUCAAAAUUAUCUCGUUCUCGCUCACGAAUUUGAUCCCUAUUCCUAUCCCUAUCCUUACGAUCGGGUCGAAAGUAUUUUUGAUUACCUUGUCGACGAUGUUGUCUAUUAUGGGACACCUUAGAAUUAUCAAAUCAAUCGAAUGAGGGAUGUGUUUAAAAUUUUUCAAACUAACAGAUAGGGCCUUACUCUCUUCAAGAGUAGCGGUCAUUUGAGUUUGAAUAGCCGCUAUUUGUCGAGUGAGUGCAUCGAAUUGUGAGGGGUUCAUGUUUAAGGUACUAGAGUUAGAAGUGACAAGAUGACCAAUAUGUAACUACAUGUACUGUAAUAGCAACUUAAUGACAUGCAAUAGAGAGAUCAACGAACAAAAAGUGCAAGUAAUGGAAAAUGAAAAUUUGAGCUUUUUUUUUAAAUUUAAAUUUUGGGACUAAAAUUAUAUACAACAAGUUAGUACUGCUUGUAUAUGUAAAAUAAUAAAGCAAUGGUCAAAUACUAGUCAAAAUCUAAUCACGUAAAAUAAGUAGGUUAAAGUGAGAUUUAACNUAGGACAUUUAGAAGAAAUGUGACCAAAGUCUUUACAGUUGAUGCACAACAAGUGAGAAGAAGACCUUGGAGUUUCAGAAAUUUUACCCUCAUUUUCCAAGAUUGGAAAACCAUUAGAAGGGGGAGGUCCUAGAAGAGACUUAACGGGAGGAGGUGGAGCCAAUGAAGCCAAAUGAUGAUUAUCAAAAAUUUUACCCUUAUUUUUCAAAAUUGGAGGAACAUUAGACGUGGGAGGUCCUAGAAGGGACUUAACGGGAGGAAUUGGAGCCAAUGACACCGAAGGAUGAUUGUCAAUAUGCUUUCUACAUGGAAAAGAAGAUCUUGAACUAUCACGACCUUUACAAUUAUUUUUCCAAAUAGGAGGAACAAUAGACGGAGACGGUUUUAUGAUAGACUUAUGAUGAGGCGACGCUAAUGAGAUGGGUGAGCGACGAUGACCACGCUUUUCAUAUGGAGUACUAAUA